CCUUUAAAGAAGCGUAAUAGCUCACUAGUCGAGUCGGCCUGCGCGGAAGAUGUAACGGGGCUCAAACCACACACCGAAGCUGCGGGUGUCACGUAAGUGACGCGGUAGAGGAGCGUUCUGUAAGCCUGUGAAGGUGAGUUGAGAAGCUUGCUGGAGGUAUCAGAAGUGCGAAUGCUGACAUGAGUAACGACAAUGGGUGUGAAAAACACCCACGCCGAAAGACCAAGGGUUCCUGCGCAACGUUAAUCGACGCAGGGUUAGUCGGUUCCUAAGGCGAGGCUGAAAAGCGUAGUCGAUGGGAAACAGGUUAAUAUUCCUGUACUUCUGGUUACUGCGAUGGAGGGACGGAGAAGGCUAGGCCAGCUUGGCGUUGGUUGUCCAAGUUUAAGGUGGUAGGCUGAAAUCUUAGGUAAAUCCGGGGUUUCAAGGCCGAGAGCUGAUGACGAGUCGUCUUUUAGAUGACGAAGUGGUUGAUGCCAUGCUUCCAAGAAAAGCUUCUAAGCUUCAGGUAACCAGGAACCGUACCCCAAACCGACACAGGUGGUCGGGUAGAGAAUACCAAGGCGCUUGAGAGAACUCGGGUGAAGGAACUAGGCAAAAUGGCACCGUAACUUCGGGAGAAGGUGCGCCGGCUAGGGUGAAGGAUUUACUCCGUAACCUCUGGCUGGUCGAANAUACCAGGCCGCUGCGACUGUUUAUUAAAAACACAGCACUCUGCAAACACGAAAGUGGACGUAUAGGGUGUGACGCCUGCCCGGUGCCGGAAGGUUAAUUGAUGGGGUUAGCGCAAGCGAAGCUCUUGAUCGAAGCCCCGGUAAACGGCGGCC
rnacentral:rRNA from 1 species